rnacentral:tRNA from 1 species
UCCCUGGUGGCUCAGACAGUAAAGAAUCUGCCUGUAAAGCAGAAGACCCGGGUUCGAUCCCUGGGUUGGGAA